CACGCCCUAAACGAUGUCUACUAGUUGUCGGGUUUUAAUUAACUUGGUAACGCAGCUAACGCGUGAAGUAGACCGCCUGGGGAGUACGGUCGCAAGAUUAAAACUCAAAGGAAUUGACGGGGACCCGCACAAGCGGUGGAUGAUGUGGAUUAAUUCGAUGCAACGCGAAAAACCUUACCUACCCUUGACAUGGACGGAAGCCCGGAGAGAUUUGGGCGUGCUCGAAAGAGAGCCGUCACACAGGUGC
rnacentral:rRNA from 1 species